GAGGAAAGGCUGGCGGUGGCAUCGAGGUCGUCGUCCAUGGCGAGCGGCCGGGAGCACGUGUGGGCGAGAGGGUUUUGAGGAAAGUGGAGGGAAAUGGCGAAGGCUUUGCCACCGACUGACGGGCUAGAGGAAUUAGUUGGCGCGCGGCGUGCACGUCCGUCUCGUGUCCGUGACGACGCAAAUCAGGCUCUAAGAUGGACCGAAAAUGGCUCGACAAGCGGACACGUGUCCGUUUGAAUUGGCGAAUUGGGACGACUUUUCUGUCCGCCGCGACCUAACACUACAAGAAAUAUUCUCAUACAUGAUGUUUUUUAAGACGUCGUUGAUGAAUUCGUCAUAAAUCUAUGACUAUUUCAUCCGAGAUUGUCGUAAACCGUUUGAGGGGAUCAAAUCUACAUAUAAAUUACGACAAUGUGAGUCAAAAACGUCGUAACCACAUAAGAUGAGAUCGUCAUAACUUUUACGAUGAUUAUAAAAAUGUCGUAACAGUCAGAACACUUCCCACGGAUCGAUGACAUGGCGUCCAUCCAUCCAUCCAUCCAUCCAGACCUGGCCAAACGGGCCGGCCCGGCACGGCACGGCCCACCAUAAUUGUGCCAGGCACGACACGGCACGCCUGGGCCCGAUUAUUAGCUGGGCCGUGCCAUGCCGGCCCGCCGGCGGAACCUCCCGGCCCAGGCACGGCACGAAGGCUAUACGGGCCGGCCCGUAGGCACGCCAGGCCCGCUAGCCUGUUAGUUUUUUCAUUUUUAGGCUAUUAUUUGGGCUGAUUUUGGCCUGUUAUGCUGUUGUUUGGGCCUAUUUUAAUAUAUUGUGCUGUGUUUUUGGGCCGAUUUUGGCCUAUUAGGUUUUUUUAUCCUAUAUCUCUCCUUAAUAAUAAAGCAAAUACGGUUUCUCGUCGUCCGUCUUGAAAAUUACCCCUAAAAUUUGUAUAAAUUACCCACCACGCCACCGGUAAGUAAUAGAAAACGUUUCACAAAACAAAAAAUCUUGGACUGAGCUGGCCCAUGUAAAAACCUCAUAUAUUACGCUCUGCAUGAUGGGAGAAUAUCCAGCACACCGUAUGGGCCGACCCAUGCACAGGGUCCUGUUUUUAGUUCCUUUUAUUUAUUUAUUUUCAGUUCCAUUUUUUUUAUUUUAAAUAAUUUAGAACUUCAAAUAAUCCUUAAAAUUUUAAUAAACUGAAAAUUAUAAAUCAACAUAUUUAAAAAAUUAAAAUUUUCGUGACUUCAAAAACUGCUCGCAUAUACAAUAAAAUGUUUGCAAUUUUAGAAAAAUGUUUGUACAAUAAGAAAAGUCCAUGGUCUCAAAUACAAUUCCAUGUAUUAAAAAUUAUUAAAGGCAUUUAACAAAAUGCUUUCUAAUUCAAAAUAUGUUAAUGCAUUUCAAAAAUGUCCUAAAAUUUUAAAAAUAGCUAAUGCCUGUUUUGAUAGUUUCUUUUUUUAUUUAAAAUUUUCCGUUCCAUUUUUGUUCAUUUAUAAUUUAAAUAAUUUAUAAUUACAAUUUUUUUUGCAUAUUACGAAAUAGGAACUUUGAAUUAAAAUGCUGACGAAUUUUUAUUUUGAAUUAAAAAUAGGAUUCAAAAAAGCGCCAGAUUUUUAUAAUUUUUUUGCAAACUCCAAAACAAUGUACAUGAAUUUAAUGAAUACAUUACUGAUUUAUAAAAAUGUUUGUUUAUUCAGAAAAACUUCAUGCGUUUCAAAAAAUGUUUGUGAAUGUAAAAUAAAAUCCUCCAACAUCAAAAAUUAUGUUCGUCUUUUCUUGAAUUGGUCGCCAACUCAAAAGAAAAUAUGUAAACCCGUUCGAAAUAUAAAACAUAUUCAUGAUUUUUAGUAAAUGUUCUCAAUUUUAAAAUUGUUUCCAUAUUUGUAAAAUUGUUCGCGAAAGAUCUAAUGUAUGUAGUUAAACAUUAAUGUUUCUAAAUCUUUGUGAAAAUAUACGUGUGUGAAUUUUGAAGAAUUAACUGUUGGAUGGAUCGGAUUAUUAUUAUAUGUUUUCUAAAAGAAAAUCUUGAAAUUCAGAAUAAAUCUUUGACUUAUCAAUAUUUUUGACAACCAUGAUAUAUAUUAUUUGAAAAUGUAAAGAUUGCUUCAACUUGUGAAUAAAUUUAAAAAAAGAAUUUUUUUUUUGCAUUUGUGCACAAAAUUUCUAAAUCAAGUGAUGAUAUGUGAACAUAUGAUCACCAUCAUUGGAGAUUAUGUUUUUUCUUCCGUGGCAACGCACGGGCCAUUUUGCUAGUAUAUAAAAAUAAGUAAAAAAAACGGACCGUGCCGUGCCGGCCCGCGUGCCGAGCCCUCAGGCCCAGGCACGGCCCGAGGCGUGCCGCGUGCCUCGCAUGGCCCGUUUAAAUUUUGUCGGGCCAGGCCCGUGUCGUGCCGUCGUGGCGGGCUGGUGGGUGCUCGCCUGUUUAGCCUGACCCGAUUGGCCAGGUUUGCAUCCAUCUCUCCAUCCCACAUCCAUCCAUCCAUCUAUCUACAAGAAAAAAACUGAAAAAGAGAUAACCCCACCCACCCAAAACCCUAGCUCACAUCCCCGAUCCCACUCUUCCUCCCUCGUCCCCAUCUCCUCGCAACCGCCGCAGCCUCCUCCCGGUCCCCUCCCCCUCCCGAUNUCCCGAUCCCCACCCCCUCCCCAUACCCUACGAAGAGACCCCUCCACCUACGCCGCCGCCAUUCCUCCCCUCCCUUCUCCUUCCUCGUCGUCGCAGCCCCUCUUCCUCCUCCUCCUCCACCCGCGACCGUCGAGACCAUCCCGNNNNNNNNNNNNNNNNNNNNNNNNNNNNNNNNNNNNNNNNNNNNNNNNNNNNNNNNNNNNNNNNNNNNNNNNNNNNNNNNNNNNNNNNNNNNNNNNNNNNNNNNNNNNNNNNNNNNNNNNNNACCAUCCCGCCACCCGCGGCCGUCGAGACCAUCCCGCCACCCGCACCUCUUCCUCCCCAUCCGACCCCGCCCGCAUCGACCCUCCACAUCCACACCCACACCCACCCGCUGCGGUUGCUCUUCCGCCGCGUCCUUCAACGGCUGGGUCGACCUCCCGGCCGCCGACGACGGCCCCCUGGGCCUCCCCUUCCGCCGCAUCACGCAGGAGUCCCUCGCCGCCGCCCCGCUCCUCCUCCUCAUCCCGGUCGCCGCGCUCUCCCUCUCCCGCUUCUCGCCCGUCCCGCUCCUCGCAGCCGUCUUCGCUGCCGGAUUCGCCACUGCCAGGCACCUCUCCCCCGCCCCCGGCCCCGGCGGAUCCUCCACCCAGCGCCUCGCCGCCCUCCUCGCGGAUCUUGACGCCCGCCUCCUCUCCCUCAAGGACCGCCUCCUGGACGCCGCCGACAAUGGCUACGGCGACAGGGGCCACCCCAUCCUCGAGCCCCUCGACCGCGUGUGUGCAAAGCCACAAUCUGUGUUAAUCGCUUUGGGCUCGCAGGGGGUGAGUACACCACAUUCUCCUUUUUUAUGUGUGUUUCCUUCGCAUGAUUCUUCACGCUCCUGUAAUAUAUGUUGCUCUGCUGUGUUACAAAGCGGAUGGGUCCAACGCUGAAUCAGGAGGGCAGUGAGGUACCACUGGCACACUUGACGGAAGCACUUCUUAGACGCUUGCAUCACGCGCUUCUGCUGCCCAAGCUGCCGCUCAGACACUUCUCUCGAGCUCUUCUGCUGCCCAAGCCGCCGCUCAAACGCUUCCCUCGAGGUCUGUUGUGGUGUCGGAUACCAAGACUAAGGCAUUGCCAGCACGAGAACCAGGGUCUACGCACAAGCCGUGCCGCUGUGACAAGUCCAAGUGUGAAAACAAGUAUGCAUGCGCAGUUGAACUAUCUGAACUAGAUCUAUCCAGUCAACUAUAUAUUUAGUUAACUGGUAUGUCCAGUGUUGCAAUUUAACUGUUGUUGUUGAUAUGCUGCAUGCACGCACUACGUAUGUGUCAAGGCUGGCUUGCCUUGCUGUGACCGCUGCGAGUGCAAGGACUGUGAUAACAGCAAGACGAGUGAGGAGAAGCGGCAGGACCUCAGGAUUAAAAGAGAGGUUCCUACUUCAGGUUCUGGAACGAGCAAGAUAACACUUCUCUUCUCUUUAUUUAUGCGUCUCUUCCUUGAGUGAUCAAUCACACUCGUGUAAUUUUCACUCUUGUUCUGCGUUUAUGUACAUAACAGCCAAGGACAUAGCCGUAGGUCAAGGAGGUACCCGCAGCAGCAGCAGCACCGUCGAAUCGGCAGGCAAACGGCCAAAACACGUUGUAAGUUUGCUCCUCUACUUACUUGUGCAGAGAAAUCAUAGUGUAUAUAUGGCUAUUUAUCACGGAUAAACAACAACUAACCCUGGUGAUCUGCUCCUUUUCUGCAGUGAUGAUAGUAGGCUUCGGACAUACCAGAGUCACCUUCCUUACUUACCAAUCUCAAGACAAUUGCCACUCACCUCACCUCCUGUUCAGAUAUCUCCCACUGUAAAUCACAUCCAGGUUCCUAAUCUCUUACUUGAAGCAAGCACGGCGAGAAACUUCAUGAUCUGCGAUGUCGUUAGCCUCAGAACGUGGCCUUGAUCAGAUGGAUAGAUACUUGAGAACAUAUACAUAUACAUAGUCAUGUAGAAAUUAUUUGACCCCUUUCGUGUCACCAAAAGGCACUUCAGCUUUAAUAGACACUCAUGCCUAUUGCCGUUUGUUUGAUGGAUGAUAUAUGAAUAUGGUGCACCUGGUACUUGAUCAGCUUCUAAUUACGAUUGCUAUACACCUGUAUCUAUGUGUUGGUGCCAGUAGUUGACCGACGUGCGGUUACCUGACUUGUUACUGGAUCAGACAUUCCUGAUUUGUCAUUUUCAUUAUUACUCCUAGCUUCUUGUGUGACGACGUUCGUAUUAUGAGCUGUUGAUAGCCUAGUAAAUUGCAAGAUUUUUUUUCAAAGUAACCUUCCUUUAGGCAUCUAUACAAUCAGCCAUGUGAUAGAGAAUUCGAGCUGCUACAUAUGCAUCUUCAACUCCAGUUCCAUGGUUGCCAUGACUUCAAUCUGAACCAAGCAUAUGUUCCUUUUAACUCCCCAUUUAAAUAUCUAAUUGUUGGUGCUUUCCCAGGUCGGUCUCCAUUGUGUAUACCAUGAUCGGGGACGUCUGCCUGUACAUUGUUGGCAAGGAUGAAUAUGAUGAGCUUGCUCGUGAGUGUCAUUGAGUUUCAGACGUUGGUCGUGAGAUUGUUUGGCAGGUAAGCUUCCAGCUAUUUUUUCUUGCCGUGUAGCAGUUAAACAUGCCUUUGCCAAUCCUCGGGGAGCACCGGCUUAUUUUUGUACUCCCAGAUUCCCAGUGAUGGGAUGCAAACUGGUUAACCUACCGGUGGAGCCAUGAUUUUUUCACUUGAUGGAUCCUGUGUAUGUAUCCCUUUGUUAGAGUCUGGAUGGUACUACUAGUCACAAACACUUGACACUUGUGUGAUUCUUCUGUCCAUGGAUGUACUGUGUACAACAAUUUGAUGGGAAUGUAAUUUGGUAUAUGGUUUUAAUUUCAUUUCAUGGAAUGUGAUUUGUAAUGACCCAGUAAAAUUCACAUCCAUAAAUUGUCCUGCUCAUGCACACGAAAAACUGAUAAUUUUUAACAAUUUUCCUACUCAUGCACACGAAAAGGGUCCUGCUCAUGCACUAGUAGUACACACACAUGCUCCAGAGCAACUCCAACCGCCAUUCUCAUGCCAAUUUAGGACUAGUAAGGGAGUACUAGGUGCUGCUGAGUCCGUGGUGGAAGCAGCAUAGAGCUUGGACGCUAACCAAGCUGGUUUAACAAGCUUGUUCAACAUUUUUAACAAUUGGUGAUCGACAGUCCCCGGGAGGUACAACCAAACAUCACUGAUUAGAGAUACACGAGAGAAAUUAUUUGACUUUUUUCAUGUCACCAAAAGGCACUUCAGCUUUAAUAGAUACUCAGGCCUAUUGUCGUUUGAUGGAUGAUAUAUGAAUAUGGUGCACCUGGUACUGGAUCAGUUUCUAACUACCAUUGCCAUACACCUAUAUCUUUGUGUUGGCGCCAGUAGUUGGCUGACGUGUUCGCUCCAGUAGUUGGAUCUUAUAUUUUUAUGGAUAAGAUUGCUCACAAGUUUGUCCUCUCUUAGUAGGAGUCAUGCUCUUUACUUAGAGAGCGCACCAAAUCACUUGCUACCAAGUUAUAUGUUGACUCCUAGCUCAUUUAUUUAUCCCCUACGCCCUCCAUCCCAUAAUGUAAGAUGUUUUUGAUACUAGUGUAGUGUCAAAAAACGUCUUACAUUAUGCGAUGGAGGGAGUAUAUAUUAUAUAGAUCAUAUAUAAGAUCUGAACAUUUACUGAAGAUCUGAACAUUUUCUUUUAUUUCAUAUCAUAUAUUAUAAACGUCUUACAUUAUGCAGCAGUUUUCUCGCCAACUUUGGUAACGAGAGUAUAUCUGUUACUUCAUAUUACUGAAGAUAUGAACAUUUUCUUUUAUUUCUGCCUCUUAUUUUGUUUAAACUUACGCUACAGUUUCACCUGAGAUGAUAUUUUGUUGUUCGAAAGACGUUUUAUAAUUUAGCAUUGCCAUCUAGUUCGUGCGCCUCAACAAUACAUUACUUUGUUUGGAUGCAGGUAUACUAGAGCCCAUAAAAGCUGGUAUGAGGGAUGCAAAACUAGGAGUGGGGAAGCAAGAGCAGGAUGACUUCUUCAUAGCGAGUGCUAAUUUCUAUAUUUUCUUUUGAGAUUCUUCUGGGUUGAUGCUUCAGCUGUAAAAACUGGUAUCUGAUUGUCAACUGUGAAUCAGAUGAGUUAUUGUGUUAUGUAAACCUGGAAGAUGUAUUAUGUGAUGUUAUAUGAUGGAUGCUGUUAAUUCAAUUUGGAGUUUUCUUGAUUUGAAUAUGAAAUAGUGCUGCAUUUAAUAUUGGAUAAAUAAUUGGUUGAAAAGGCCCAAUAAAUAGAAAUGAAACCAAGUUCAGGAAAAAAAAUUAGCUGAAUUCAAAAAUGAAAAAAAGGUUAAAACUGAAACUGGAUCAAAUGUAUUUGGGCACUAAAAGGCCAGGGCCCAAAAAAAAUUCGAAAAGAAAAACUAAAAGUGGCUAUAAAUGGGCUAAGGCCCCAAAAGAAGCCCAAUAAGAAAAAGCCCAAAAAAAUAAAACAAGCCCAUGUGAUCAAUUGAAAUGGGUUGGGCUGAUUUCAACCAUGACGUUUUGAUUUCAUCGUAAUUUUGCCACGUAAGACUGCCACGUAGGACUGGGUUAGAUUGCCAACGAUGAUUUAGGAUCGUCGUAAAGGUUACGGCAAUCCAGGAAUCCUCGUAAAGGUUACGACGAUUUUGAUCAAAACAUCGCUGCUGUUCAUUUGUGACGCUCCGUUUUCGAUGCUUGGUUUUUCGUCGUGAGAUCGUCGUAAACUAAAAACCGUGACGAUGAAGCGACGAAAAUAUAGCAUCGUGUAUUAGCAUAUUCCUUGUAGUGUAAACGGACGCGCGUGGACAAAAUGGAUUGGCGUUUUGAAGUUGCUCUAAAGAUUCAAACAUGCUAUGCAUGUGAAUCAAAUUAACCCAAAAAACCUACAUCCACGUAAUUCUACGAAGGUUUUUACGUAAAUUUCCCAAAUUAACAUGCCAGAAGUGGAUUGAUGGAGUACUAC
rnacentral:lncRNA from 1 species